CGCACGGUAAACGAUGAAUACUCGCUGUCUGCGACAGACUGUAGGCGGCCAAGCGAAAGCGUUAAGUAUUCCACCUGGGGAGUACGCCGGCAACGGUGAAACUCAAAGGAAUUGACGGGGGCCCGCACAAGCGGAGGAACAUGUGGUUUAAUUCGAUGAUACGCGAGGAACCUUACCCGGGCUUGAAUUGCAGAGGAAUGGGGGAGAGAUUCUCCAGCCGCAAGGUCUCUGUGAAGGUGC
rnacentral:rRNA from 1 species